GUCACAAUAGGGGGUUUAGAGUUGAAAAGGAAGAAGAAAAGUCAGAGGCACCUGGGCAGGGUCCUGGGGCGUCGCCCCUCUCAUAGCCCCAAGAAGAAUUCUCUGAUAUUUUGCCUCUGGGGAAUCGCCCCUCUCAGAUCCCCAAGAAGGAUUCUCUGAACUUUGGCCUCUGGUGCCCCACACCUCUCAAAACGCUAAGGACGCCAGUUCACCCCAUUU
rnacentral:lncRNA from 1 species